GGGUGAAAGCAGGGGACCGCAAGGCCUUGCGUCGAUGGAGCGGCCGAUGUCCGGAUUAGCUAGUUGGUGGAAGGACGCUACCAAGGCGACGAUCCGUAGCUGGUCUGGGAGGACGACCAGCCACACUGGGACUGAGACACGGCCCAGACUCCUACGGGAGGCAGCAGUGGGGAAUCUUGGACAAUGGGCGCAAGCCUGAUCCAGCAAUGCCGCGUGUGGGAAGAAGGCCUUCGGGUUGUAAACCACUUUUGGCAGGAAAGAAAUCGUCCGUGCUAAUACCAUGGAUGGAUGACGGUACCUGCAGAAUAAGCACCGGCUAACUACGUG
rnacentral:rRNA from 1 species